rnacentral:rRNA from 1 species
AAAUUGAAGAGUUUGAUCAUGGCUCAGAUUGAACGCUGGCGGCAGGCCUAACACAUGCAAGUCGAGCGGAAACGACACUAACAAUCCUUCGGGUGCGUUAAUGGGCGUCGAGCGGCGGACGGGUGAGUAWUGCCUAGGAAAUUGCCUUGAUGUGGGGGAUAACCAUUGGAAACGAUGGCUAAUACCGCAUGAUGCCUACGGGCCAAAGAGGGGGACCUUCGGGCCUCUCGCKUCAAGAUAUGCCUAGGUGGGAUUAGCUAGUUGGUGAGGUAAUGGCUCACCAAGGCGACGAUCCCUAGCUGGUCUGAGAGGAUGAUCAGCCACACUGGAACUGAGACACGGUCCAGACUCCUACGGGAGGCAGCAGUGGGGAAUAUUGCACAAUGGGCGAAAGCCUGAUGCAGCCAUGCCGCGUGUAUGAAGAAGGCCUUCGGGUUGUAAAGUACUUUCAGUUGUGAGGAAGGGUGUGUAGUUAAUAGCUGCACAUCUUGACGUUAGCAACAGAAGAAGCACCGGCUAACUCCGUGCCA